rnacentral:misc_RNA from 1 species
UAUGUCUAUUCUUCUUAUAUUGCAGAGUUUUUCAAUACUAUAUCAAAUAUCCCAAGCAUUCUUUUGGCGCUCAUUGGUCUCAUAAAUGCCCUGAGACAACGAUUUGAAAAGAGGUUUAGUGUACUUAACAUGUCUAAUAUGAUACUUGCUAUUGGAAGCAUGCUGUACCACAGCACGUUACAUGCAACAACAAGGUGAUGAAACACCAAUGGUAUGGGAAAUGCUUUUGUAUUUCUACAUCCUUUAUUCGCCAGAUUGGCACUACCGGAGUACAAUGCCCACCUUUUUGUUCCUUUACGGAGCUGCAUUUGCAGUUGUUCAUGCAUUGGUUCGUUUUGGAAUUGGCUUUAAGGUGCACUAUGCAAUACUCUGUCUUCUGUGCAUACCGCGGAUGUACAAAUACUACAUUUACACGAAGGAUGAGUCUGCAAAGAGGCUUGCAAAAUUAUAUGUGGGUACCAUAUUCUUGGGAAGUCUUUGUUGGCUCUUUGAUCGCGUUCUCUGUGGCAAAAUUUCUCAGUGGUAUUUCAACCCCCAGGGGCAUGCUUUAUGGCAUGUCUUCAUGGGUUUCAAUUCAUAUUUUGCAAACACAUUCCUGAUGUUUUGUCGUGCUGAACAGUUAGGAUGGGAUCCAAAAGUUGUCCGCUUCAUGGGUUUUUUCCCCUAUGUUAAGGUUCAAAAACCGAAGACCCAGUGACAGAUGCUGGAAGUUAACCGAGUCUUGUUGCACCCCUCAUUUUGAGGAAGAUAUAUGGUUUUGGCUGAUGAACAAACACCAGUGGUCUCAAUUUUUUCUUCUCUUCUUUU